ACGAGUGGUGCAAGCGUUAUUCGGAAUCAUUGGGCGUACAGGGCGUGUAGGUGGUAUGUUAAGUCUGUUGUUAAAGACUCUAGCCUAACUGGAGAAAGGCAAUGGAAACUGGUGUACUAGAGGGUGGAAGAGAGAAGUGGAAUUCUCGGUGUAGCGGUUUAAUGCGUAGAUAUCGAGAGGAACACCCAUGGGGAAGGGAGGUUAUUAGUACAUAACUGACCCUUAGGCGGGUAAGCGUGGGGUGCACAAAG
rnacentral:rRNA from 1 species